GAAGAUGGCGGCGCCGCUUGUACCCCUCUCGCAGCAGAUUCCCGGUGGAAAUCCGUUAUACGAGUCUUAUUACAAGCAGGUGGACCCUGCCUACACAGGGAGAGUUGGGGCAAGCGAGGCUGCGCUGUUUCUGAAGAAAUCGGGGCUCUCAGACAUCAUCCUGGGGAAGAUAUGGGACUUGGCAGACCCCGAAGGUAAAGGGUUCUUGGACAAACAGGUAUAUAUGCACAUGUGGAGCAGGGGAGGGGGUGGGAACCCCUGAGGCUGGACUAGUUGUGUGUUUCUUCUACUGUCUGCUAUCACACAUAGCUGCCAGGCUCAAGUGAGGAGUUCUCACUGUGGAAUGCAGGUCUUUAAGUACACCUAGGCCCCUGACUCAGUGGCAUGCCUUUGACUGUCUUGUACCUGUCUUAGUUUCUUUACCUAUUGCUGUGGUAAAUUGCCUAGACAGAAGCAACUUGGGGAAAGGGUACCUGUAGCUCACAGUUCCAGAUACAACCUACUGCAAGUGUGUGUGUGUGUGUGUAUGUUGGGGCAGUCAAGGCAGUAGGAACCUGAAGCAGCUGACCCCAUCCAGUCAGGAGCAGGUAAUAAAUGCAUCAAACCAGUGCUCAGCAGCUUUUUCCUGUUCCCUCAGUCCAGGCCUAUCCCAGGGGUGAUGUGGCCAUAUGCAGGUUGGCUUCCUCAUCUCAGGCAACCCAGGAAAACUCCUCAAAAGCCAGCCUGUUUGAAACUGCCCCUCAAUUGAGACUUUUAUUCUAGGUAGCUCCCAUUGUGCCAGGUAGACUAAGCUAAACAUCAUCAGGAGAGAGAGCAGGUUCAGCUGUUACAUAGUUCAGGUCCCAGCACUCAUAUUUGUCAGCUCAAGCAUCUGCAAUUCCAGUCUCAAAAGAAUCGAUGCCCUCUUCUGACCACUCAGAACAUACAUACACACCUUUAAACAAAACCAAAACUGUAAAUGAUUAAAACAUUUUAAAGAAUUAAGAUAAUUAAAUGAAUUGUACCUGAUACGGUGGUACACAUCUUUAAUCCCAACAGUCAGUCAGUGGAGGCAGAUGAAUGGAUCUCUGUGAGCAUCAGGCCAGCCAGGGCUACACAGUGAGACUGUCUCAAAACAAACAAACAUACACACACCCGACACACGCACAACACAGGAUGAUGACACAGCAACACAGAAAUGUGUGUGUGUGCAUGCAUGUGGCCCAUAUAUGAGUAUACUGUAGCUGUACAGAUGGUUGUAUGCCUUCAUGUGGUUGUUGGGUAUUGAAUUUAGGACCUCUGCUCCCUCUGGUCAACCCCAUUCACUCCAGUCGGCCCUACUGGCUCAGGCCCAAAGAUUUAUUUAUUGUUAUAAAUAAGUACACUGUAGCUGUCUUCAGACUCAUCAGAAGAGGGCGUCAGAGCUCAUUAAGGGUGGUUGUGAGCCACCAUGUGGUUGCUGGAAUUUGAACUCAGGACCUUCAGAAGAGCAGUCAGUGCUCUUACACACUGAGCCAUCUUGCCAGCCCUUCAAGACUUAAUUCUUAACUAGAGAGUUCCUGUGUUAAAUUCCUAGCAACCAAAUGGUGGCUCAUAACCAUCUAUGGUGGAAUCUGAUGCCUUCUUCUGAUAUGCAGGUAUGUGUGCAGACAGAACACCCAU
rnacentral:lncRNA from 1 species